UGGCGGUGUUUCAAUCAAUUCUAAUGUGCAAGUGGAAGGGUUCAUUGUGAACGAUAUCACAUUUGAUGAUUUUCAAUCAACCUGCUAUCCCGUGUACAGAGACCUCUUACUCAGCCCGUCCGGAGAUGGAAACUCUUUUAUGGUCAUGAACAUCAGAAACGGACUUUGUCUCACCACAUACGGUUCUGGGGUCGGUAAUUUGUUCUGGGUGACUUGUGGAAUUGGGGGACAAAAUUGGAAUUUUAUUGAAUCAGCCCCGGUGGAUGUGAAACUUUGAUUCAUCAACUUAUUUUUAUUAACAAGAGCAUAAAAAGUUAAUAUGUAAAUAACUCAUAAUUUCUUAUUAUAAAACUUGAACUUGGUUUUAUUAAUUUAUAAUUGUUUAAGUAAAUACCAAGAAUUUCAACAUCUUCUUCUCUA